rnacentral:rRNA from 1 species
UACGGAGGGUGCAAGCGUUAUCCGGAUUUACUGGGUUUAAAGGGUGCGUAGGUGGAUUUGUAAGUCAGUGGUGAAAUCUCCGGGCUUAACCCGGAAACUGCCAUUGAUACUAUAAGUCUUGAAUUAUCUGGAGGUAAGCGGAAUAUGUCAUGUAGCGGUGAAAUGCUUAGAUAUGACAUAGAACACCAAUUGCGAAGGCAGCUUACUACGGAUAUAUUGACACUGAGGCACGAAAGCGUGGGGAUCAAACAGG